rnacentral:ncRNA from 2 species
UUCUUAUCGAGAGAAGGGGAGGGACGGACCCAAUGAACCUUCGGCAACCUUCAGGCUUGAAGGCCUGAAAAGGUGCCAAUUUCCGCCGGGUAACCGGAGAGAUAAGAA